rnacentral:rRNA from 1 species
UACGUAGGUGGCAAGCGUUAUCCGGAAUUAUUGGGCGUAAAGCGCGCGUAGGCGGUUUCUUAAGUCUGAUGUGAAAGCCCACGGCUCAACCGUGGAGGGUCAUUGGAAACUGGGAAACUUGAGUACAGAAGAGGAAAGUGGAAUUCCAUGUGUAGCGGUGAAAUGCGCAGAGAUAUGGAGGAACACCAGUGGCGAAGGCGACUUUCUGGUCUGUAACUGACGCUGAUGUGCGAAAGCAUGGGGAGCGAACAGG